UUUUACCUUGCACUUGCCUGUACCGUCUAGAUCUUUUAAUUCAUGAAGUAUUUUACAGAUACAAACUAGCGGUAUUUUUGCACGCGUACAGCGAAUGUGCUGCUGCGACAGCAGUGCUCUAAAUGUGACCCGACCUACUGGAGCUCUGUGUCCUUCUGGUCUCCACCUGGGGUUGGUGAGACUGCAGGAGCCUGGUUUUCCAGAGCAGUUAGGUGAGCUAAAGCUAUAAAAGCCCCUGAAAUCAAACAAACCAUUCUUCUUUGGGAGUUGCAGCGCUCCGCACACGCAAACCCUACGAGGAACCCACCUGGCCCUGCAAGUGACUUAGAAAACUGAUCAGACCAGCAGAGUACUCGCAAUGUGCAAUGAAGAGGCUGAUCUUCCUGCAAGUGAGUGCCAUUCACCGAAACAGCUGAAUACCCUGGUUCACCUUAAACUACUCUACUAUAUCUGAUGAAGCGGAGACGAUAUGCUUGCCGAGAACUUGUGAAGAUGUUGUAUGUCACUCCUCCUCCUGCAGUUCCACCCACGGUGUCCUCCAAAUGACUGGACAAACUCUUACAAGAAAAGGGAUGCCUUUCCAGGGACGGAUGCAUCCAAGAUCUGGAAAGGGGACAGCAUAAUUAAGUAAAUACGCCCACAUCCCAUGACCCAGAGCAAACACCUGCUGAUGGUAAUGGGAGAAGAGAGGAUUACAGCUCCUACAAUCAGCUCCUCUGCCCCGUAAAUCUGCCACUGACCUCUGCCUCACUUUAUUUAAUUCCCUACCAACGCAGCCAUUACCGGUACACAAAACCUACGAUGCCUGUUUUUUGCCAUGGGCUCCUGUCCACUAGGAACCAGGUAGAGACAAGAAAUUCACUUCUGACAUUGUACUCUGCUGCCCUAUAAAGAUCAGCAGUGACACAGAGUCUAAAGGUGAAAUCAUAAAAUCAGUUUUGAAGGGUUUGUGUCAUACUGCUGUGUCGUUACCCACAAAUACCAGUCUCAGCUAAUGCUGUAACCUUCCUCAGUGCUUUUCUGGCAGCCACACUUGAAUGCUCCCUCUUACCGUGUCCAGCCUGUCUGGAAGAUAGAUCUCCCUUUCUUCAGUUGCUUUCUGUGAUGGCCAGAAUGUAGCAGUACAACAAAAGAUGUUCUCUUCCCUUCUGCACCAUUUUUGAAGAGGUUACUUUAUCAAAAAUGUCCCUAGACUUCCAGGUUUACUGAAAGCAGAUAAUUAGCAAUGAGAUACUAGCAAUUGCGAAUACCGUGUUAUCUCACCACAGGUUGCUAAGAUGAACUCCAGUGAUACGGCUAGAUUUCAUAAUCAGCAGCAGAACUGAACUGGCAAGCCUAGAUUAAACUCUGUGGCAGGCACUGACAAAAAUCUUACUAAUUUCACGUACUUCACUGUGGAAAACUAAAUCCAGCAGCAAGAUCAGAUACUGUACUUUUCUCCCCAAAGAAACAGUGUUACCGAGUAAUGAGAAAAUACCUCAUGCAGCAACUGGCCCGUUCCUAUUUUAUGUCUUUAAUCAUAGUCAGCUCUUCAGGAGUCGAGUUACCAACACAGGUAUUUUUGAUGUAUUACACCUAGUAGUAGCAGUUACAAUAAGAGCUGUUCUCCACAACCUGCUUGAAGAAAGGUAUGUGUUAGGGAUCAUUCACAGGUCAAAGAUGUUUCACUUCCUUUUAGGAUGUCAGAAAGCAUGACCAAACGGUAAAGUUCUGGUCUCCCUCCACGCAUUUUCAUCUGUUGGUUAAGUGCAUAAGCAGCCAACUGAUCAGUGCUCUUGUCUACAGCUUGAAACAUGUUGACAUCCUGAACAAGGAUGGAUAACAUUUCUGGGAGAAAGACAAGGAAAGCGCAUUUUCCACAGAAACAGCAGUUUUCCUGAUUGAUACUAGUCAUACCAAAAUGGUUCUCUUUAGAGUAACUGCAACAAAACCACUGUAUAUGAUAAAAUGAAAGGAGGAUGUUCCCAGUUGCCUUAAAAGAAGCUGAACUAUGUAUGAUAUUUGUCUUUUCUCAUUGAUAACAGAAUAUUGGCAGGAAUGACAGUGGUAUUUUGUCUGUCUUAAAAUCUUGCAAGCAUGUAAAAUGUUGGGGGAAAAUCUAAGCUAAUUACACCCGUGCUCUGAUGCCACUGUGGCACAGAAGCCUCAUGUUCUAAUUAUAUAUUUAGCAAUUUAUAGUGCCUCCCAAUCACCAUAGUAAUUAAACGCCAAGUUAAUUGAUACUACAUAAUAAUCUGGCCUCUAAUUAGCAGUGUGUUUUUAAUUUGUUACAGAUUCCAUUAUGCAGCCCGGUCUAGUCCUAAUAAAGUCACCGUAAAAGCUCCCCUGCAUCUGGUAAGAACAGAAUCAGGCCUAAGGAAUGAGAAAAAUGACUACAUCUUGGUUUGCCAUUUGUAAACUACUGAAAGACUAUGAUAAAAGUACAACUUCUUUCCUUUUUUUCCCCCUCCAGACCUUAAUUAUGGUGAGCCAGGAUUUUUUGUUAGUUUAACCACUUCACAAUAUUUGUCUGCUUGUAGAGGAACAAAACAGGGUGCGUCUUGCAGAGGAAAAUGUGGGAAGAGUGCGUCCUUGGUUACUGUGUGCUGUUUAGCGGGCACAAGCUCCUUACGCUUAUAUCUCUUAAAAAGCAAUAAUAAAGCAAAAGAGGAAAUCAAUUAGUACUACUACAGGAUCACUGAUGCUAAUCAGUGCAAUACCAGACUUUAUAAUACAUCUAAUUCUUCAGGAACUGACUGUAAAUUAAAGAAGCUCCUUGAAGUGUAUUAUACGGUGCGGCUGUGCUUUUCUAGCUUCAAAUAGUAGCUCAGCCAGCCUAUUUGUAAAUACAUCCAGUAAUAUUUAUAACUUUGGCAAUGAUCUUUGGGGGUCCUAGAGCUCUGGAAUUUGUUUUCUGUCACAGGCUAAACGUCCUGAGUGUGAUGUUGUAAGUCUGGGUUACCACUGGAAGGGAAGAAAAGAUUUGAGGUUUUCCAUGGCUUGUUUUCCUAACAGCAGACUGCAGUGAAUUGCAUACUAAUUCUGUGGCUGAAGUUAUGUGAAAAGCACCAAGGGCAUAUGAGUAGGUGUCCUCUUUGACAUCUAAGUAAACAAACAAACGUUUUGGAUAGAGAAAAAUAAGAAUCAUUGUGAACGAGGACAAAAUGUUCCAGCCUGUUCCCUGGCACUCUCUCCUGCUUGUUAUUUACAUAUGCAAAUUAACA